rnacentral:rRNA from 1 species
UACGGAGGAUCCAAGCGUUAUCCGGAAUCAUUGGGUUUAAAGGGUCCGUAGGCGGUUUGGUAAGUCAGUGGUGAAAGCCCAUCGCUCAACGGUGGAACGGCCAUUGAUACUGCCAGACUUGAAUUAUUAGGAAGUAACUAGAAUAUGUAGUGUAGCGGUGAAAUGCUUAGAGAUUACAUGGAAUACCAAUUGCGAAGCAGGUUACUACUAAUGGAUUGACGCUGAUGGACGAAAGCGUGGGUAGCGAACAGG